AUGUCAAGUUCAUGAGUUUAACUCAGGAAAUUCUAAGUACCUGAAGCCACUUCUGAUAGAGAAAAAGCUAACAAGGGAAAGAAGACUAAAAUAAUGGGAAUUCUUGAUUACUGACUGUCUCCUUUGAAGUAGAGAUCUCCACUACGAGCUUUCAUGGGGAUCAAGAAUCGGACCUUCGCUAGCAACCUGUCUCAGUAUGCG